rnacentral:rRNA from 1 species
AUUGAACGCUGGCGGCAUGCUUUACACAUGCAAGUCGAACGGUAACAGGCCGCAAGGUGCUGACGAGUGGCGAACGGGUGAGUAAUGCAUCGGAACGUGCCCAGUCGUGGGGGAUAACUACUCGAAAGAGUAGCUAAUACCGCAUACGAUCUAUGGAUGAAAGCGGGGGACCGUAAGGCCUCGCGCGAUUGGAGCGGCCGAUGUCAGAUUAGGUAGUUGGUGGGGUAAAGGCUCUCCAAGCCAACGAUCUGUAGCUGAUCUGAGAGGACGACCAGCCACACUGGGACUGAGACACGGCCCAGACUCCUACGGGAGGCAGCAGUGGGGAAUUUUGGACAAUGGGCGCAAGCCUGAUCCAGCAAUGCCGCGUGCAGGAAGAAGGCCUUCGGGUUGUAAACUGCUUUUGUACGGAACGAAACGGCUCUGGUUAAUACCCGGGGCUAAUGACGGUACCGUAAGAAUAAGCACCGGCUAACUACGUG